AUUGGAUAGAACCAGGUUUAAAUACCAUGAGAUCUCAAAUCUGUUAGAUCUGCAUAAAAACAUGGUCUCCUGUAUCUCAUUUCCAGGUGAAAAAACCCGCUUCGCAGUGUAUUUGAACAGUUUUUCACUGAGCGUGCACUUGCAUUCUUAUAUUAAAGGCAUGUUAAAGGUGCAAUUCUGCCUUUCAACUGUUGCUCCCAAUCUGGUGUCAAAAUAGAUUCUGAGGGUAGUUUUUGCUCCUUAUGUUGGGUGAAGAAGGAAAGUUAGAGUUUGCCAUUUCCUCCGACCCAGGAUGGGGCUCCGUGUGACUCUGCCCUAAAGGGGAGGGCUGUAAACAGGGUGAAAUCAAAACUAGUUUCAAAGUACAGCUGACUCAUGGGAAUGCUCUUUCACUUUUCAUCUUAGUUCCUUUAUGCAUUCUUCUGAGACUCUCAGUGUGGGUUAAAUGUUUACAAGUAGGACCAGAACUGCAAAAGAAUGACUCCGAAAAUAACAUGGUCUGUGCAACGAUCUUGUUGCGCUGCACCACUGAAUGUUUAACUGAUUGCUCAGCCAUAACAUUUAGAUAGGAAGACAAGUUCAAAUUUACUAUUCCACAGCAAGAAGGAAACCAAAUUAAACAUGAGGCCAAUUCUGAGAUCAAAGCUGCUCAAGAAGUACAGACUGAAAUCAGCAAGCUCAUACAUUUAAAACAGGUUGAAAAGUUCCACCAUUACAAGCCUGAUGAUACCUGCUGAUGAUACAAGCCUGAUAUGUCUUACAUAUCCUUGCAUUCCUCUGAGGUUUUGUUCUGUAUGGCAGCAGUAGGGCAAGGGAACAGGGAAAGGACAGACACAAGUCCAUUUGGAUGGCUGCCAGCACUGGGAACCGAGGCACAGGGGUGUGCGGUCCUUCCCAUUCCGUCCAGUUCCACUGCACCUCCCAGUGCGGCUCUCACCUUGGAAGAUGGGAUGGAGCUGAAGGCCCGAGGUGAAGGAUUCAUUCAGGAGAAGAAAAAGAACUGGAGUGUGGCAGCAGUCUCAGGCGGACAGCAGUGCUGCUAGCUGCCAGCUCCCAGCUGAGCCCCAGGUCUCGCUCCAGCCAUGAGGGGGGAUCCCCAGCCUACAGCCCAGGGCUCAAAUCCCCCUUUAAUGUACAAUGUGGAGAAACUGAAACAGAAAGGGAAGAAAUGCUGUCCAUGGUUAUACGGCAUGCUGAUGACAGAGUUCCUCCUUAUAGCCUGAAGACAUGGCAGAUUUACAGACUGGUUCAGUUCUUCAUUUCUGGAAGGGGUUAAGGGUGUUGUAAACACUGUUGCCCAGAUGCCAUGCUAUUUUACAUGGAGGGGACUACCAUCAAUUCCCACAGCAGUGUAUUACAGUCAAAUAGAACUCAUCUUAAUCAAAGAUCUGGACACAGCUUCUGCUAUUGAAAAUCAACAGGACUACAGUUUGACAAGUAAUCAUUUCAACUCUGAAUGAAAACCAGCAAAAAGAAGCAAGAGAAUUCAUGAAAGAGGAUCUCUGCCAUUACUUCUCUCCUGGGCUAUUAGAGAUUCAUUUGCCCCUCAUCCAUCUGUAUUUCAUGGGCUUCCCAUAUGCUUAAUGCAUUAACUGGGCCUGCCAGUAGGGUACCAACUGGUUUAUGUUUCCUGGGAGAAUUUCCCGUGUUAACUUUGCUUCCAGUCAGGCUGCCAGGCAGCCACAUGCUGGUCUAAGCAACCUCGUCAUACUUAAGGGGAUUGUAGGCCAAAGAGGAACAUGAAUAACUGAAGAGCUACUUCCCAGGCUCCUCCAACAGGCACUGCAGUGUUCCCAAGAGAAAGAAGCUGAAGACAUCAUUCAGAGGCUUUGAAGAUCUGGAUUAUUUUUAUGGAGCACUGACCACAAUAGACUGACCAAUAAAGUCUAGGCCCUGGGCCCUAUCUUCAACUGAAGGGCAACCAGUCCUUCCAGCAGUACGAACUGAACUGCUAAAGUAAGGUAAAGGGAGCUUAGAACUACCCUCAAAGCUAGCGAAUCCCUGCUGCCAUAAAGCUGCCAUAGCCUGUUCAGUGCCAUCUGCUCCUCCAUUCUUUCCAGAGGAUACUGGUGAAAUUGCUGAGGGGAUGGGGCAUAGGUAAACACUUAUGGACUCAGUAUAGCUGUUAUCAUUAAAAGCACCCUUUAUGGACACUAGACUGACACUGCGGGCUGGUUUUGACAGACCCACGGACCAGGCCUGGCAGGAGCACAGAGGUGAUUCAGAGCCAUGCUAAUCCAACAUCUUCAUUCUAUGAAAACAUGAGAAUCAAGCCGGCACAGUGAAAUAAUGACAGCCUAUUGCAGUUAUUUAUUACCUCAUUUUCAAACAAAAAUACACCACGCAGAUAUUUCAAUUAUAAAAAGACAAACCAUUCACUCCUGGGAAGAGCCUGUCACUUGAUCUGUGAGUACAACGUUUUGUGCAUGGUAACAGAUUAAUGGCGUCUAUCCACAGUGGUUUUAGGAGCUGCCUGCACAUUUAGGUUCUUAGUAUCCUCCUGGCUGUAAUUUCAGUAUACACAGUCCCAAAUCCCUACCGUGCCUGCUCUGUUUAGAAAGAUGUCAGUGUCCAUGGUCUCACGGACAGUUGUGCAAUAGGUCUCAUUUUUGCUGCAUGUUCUCACCACAGCAGGAAACAGUAAAAGCCAUCUGGGAAUGCGGGUUGUACAAAAGAAAAAAGGAAGACAGAAAAACAGUGCUUGUGCGAAAUCAAUGGCCAGCCAGGUGACACAGCAGCCUACACUGUAAUUGAAGCAAUGUAAAUUGAAGAACAGAUGUCAGAUGCAUGAAAAGGCCACCAUAGAUGCAGAACACAAGAAAUGUUAGCAUAAAAUGCCAGGACUAAAGCUAAAUGCAAAGGAAAUACCGCUUAGAUGUAUGCACAUGCAUUCACAAAAAGUUCUGGUGGGACCAUGUAUAUACAGUGUAUUGCAACAAAAUGAUACCCCUUACCUGUGCAUUUUAACAAGGCCAAAAGCAGCUGAUUCUUCCCAU